ensembl:lncRNA
UUUGAUUCCUGGGGGGAGAAGAUCCGCUGAAGAAGGGAUAAGCUACCCACUCCAAUAUUCUUGGGCUUCCCUUGUGGCUCAGCUGGUAAAGAAUCCACCCUGCAAUGUGGGAGACAUGGGUCCUCUUCUUACUAUUUUAUCCUAAAGGAAGGGCCAAGAGAUAUAAAAAUGUCAAACUCCAGGAGUUUCUACAUGUUCUCAUCAGUGUGGUGAGAGGUGAGCCAAGACUGAUGGCACAGUCCGCCUCAGGUCUGCAUUUAUGUAUAGAGCACAAAAUGGUAGAUGGAUUGAUGGAUAAGAUCAGAAUUCAUAAUAAUGGGAAAGAGAAAUGGAUUGAGAAUCAGAAAGCCUGGGCACUUUUAGCUGAGAAAAAAAGACAAUUGCCUACAUAGAAUCCAGAGUUUCAUCUUCCACUCAAUUCAGUAACUCAAAGGGAGUAAAAGCCAAGUGAUGGAAUAUACGUAAAGCUGGACACGGGGCGGAUCUCCAUUGGUGGCCUUUCUUAUUUACACCACACACAUGGCGAUGGCUCCGACAUCCAGUUCCUUUAGUAUAAACAGAAAGGAUGGCCUUUUUCUGUGGAAGUUAAUGAAUUGAAAAACAAAGCUGUUC